CCCAAAAAAACAACCAUAGUUAGUGAGGCAUUUUUAGCCGAAAAAAACGACCAUGUAUAGUAAGGCGUUUUUAGCCGAAAGAAACGACCAUGUAUAGCGUUUUUAGCCGAAAGAAACGACCAUGUAUAGUAAGGCGUUUUUAGCCCAAAAAAACGACCAUGUAUAGCAUUUUUAGCCGAAAAAAACGACCAUGUAUAGUAAGGCGUUUUUAGCCGAAAGAAACGACCAUGUAUAGCGUUUUUAGCCGAAAGAAACGACCAUGUAUAGUAAGGCGUUUUUAGCCAAAAAAAACGACCAUGUAUAGUAAGGCGUUUUUAGCCGAAAGAAACGACCAUGUAUAGUAAGGCGUUUUUAGCCAAAAAAACCGACCAUGUAUAGUAAGGCGUUUUUAGCCGAAAAAAAACGACCAUGUAUACCAAGGCGUUUUCAGCUGAAAAAAAACGAC